ACGGAACUUCAGGAAGGAACAUUGCAGUUUUGGGCUAGUGUUGGCAGUGUGGCAUGUCUGUGUUUCAGGAGCCAAAUGACUCCGGCGAAUCAGGCCUACCUGGUACGUCGGUCAUGGCACACCUCAGACCGAAUGGACCCUCUCUGGGUCUUUGGUUCUUCGUUCCACUAAUCCUAUUCGUUUGCCCCUCACACAAUUUAAAAGAA